UUGCAUUCAUAAUCAUUCACACAUGUUUAUCCAUUUCUGUGGGGUUUAUAUCUUCUACUUGAUUCUAGUCGGAAUUUUCUUGGUUCUCAUCAACGGCUUAGUCUUUUUUUUUACAUCGUUUAUCUAUUGAGAGACUGGAAUCAAGGGGGUAGAAUACCUUUGGAAUUGAUAAACAUGUCAUUGCAUUUACAUAUUCAUUAGCAUGUCUUGCAUAAUAGGUAC
rnacentral:lncRNA from 1 species